rnacentral:misc_RNA from 1 species
AACGCACCUUGCGCUCCUUGGUAUUCCUUGGAGCAUGCCUGUUUGAGUGUCGUGAAUUUCUCCAACUUGAGCUUUUGUUCAACGCGGGUCCAUGGGUUUGCAACUUGCGUUGCUCACCUUAAAUACAGUACGCUGGACAACCAGUGAGUUGCUAAUUUCAUUGCUAACUUGCGUAAAUGUUGUCUGCUGCUAAUCACGGCGUGGGGGUUACAACCCACCCAAGUGUUCGCACACCUCACUUCUGACCUCAAACCAGGUAGGACUACCCGCUGAACUUAA